AAAAAGUUGUUUACAACUGAAUUGGUAUAUCAGCUGUCUCUUCCUGUUUCCUGCAGAUUUAGUGAUAAUUCAUCUGUCUUCUCACGAAGACUGUGGAUUACAAGGCAGAGCUUCGAAGCUGUGUGUCAGUCUCCUCUCCGCUCAACCUUUCUCAGCCUGGAUCUCCAAAUGACAAGCUCUGAAACAGAGGCCCCAAAAACCCAUAAUCGGCAUUCAGAACCUGGUGUUUCUUCCCUCUGGAAGAUGCAGCAUUUAAGCUUUCAUCUUGGAAACAGAUACCGGACCCUCAACAGAUGGUAAACCAGAUGGCGCCUUGAUCUUGGACUUCUCACGCUCCAGAGCUGAGUGGGAUCAAUGUAGAAGUCUUUUUUUGCUUGGUGAAAGAAGAAAGUCGCUAGUAUUUUCACAGGUAAAGUCCUCAGGGCAAAUUAUAUGUUUAUUAACUUGCUUCCUGUUGUGACAAGGUGGGAUCACAUGGAAUUGCAACAGACUGUGGCAAAGUUGGACCUGGCUACUAUAAAAACCUCAGUCUUUCUGUUUCCCACAGUUGAGAAGGAAAAGUAGAAACAAGCAUUUCACACACAGGAACCAAAUAUACCAGGAGCACGGUACUACUUUAAGAUGUUGGGUGGUGACUUCCCUGGCCAGAGAGGAUACCAAUAUGCACAAGCCGAUGAGAGUUGGAGUUUCACCAAGUUCCUGAGGCUGGUCUUGAACUCCUGAGGCCAAGCAGUCUGCCCGCCUCAGCCUCCCAAAGUGCUAGGAUUACAGAUGUGAACCACCACACCUGGCCUUUUAUUUUUUUAAACAAAUCAGUUUUGGAAGUAGAAUUUGCCACCUGUAUGCCAUCUGAUGAUUCUGCACAUGCACAGAUUAAUUUAUGGUUGAAAUCAUUCUACAUAUCUGAAAGGUUUGUGGGUCGGUAUAUGUUGGGAAAGAAUUAAAAAGCUAUUUCUGGUUCUGUCAUUACAAUAAUCCCUAAAAAACAUCAUUCUUUAAAUUCAUAUCUUUAAAAUUUUAGGUUACUUUAAAAAUGGUAAUAUCAAAUGAGUAUUCAUUUGUUAAGUAAAGGUUUACACAUUUAAAAGUCAAAUUCAAUAAUUAGAUAAUCAAAAGGAUGACCAAAAUAAAUAUUAGUGAUUAAAUAGAUCUACAGAAAAAAAAAAGCUAUGAAAGUUAGCUCACGUAUGUUAGUUUACUUUUAGUUUAUGGCUCAAUUGUACCACUUCCCUUCAGAUUAAAAUUAAAUGAAAAUGUCAAAUACAAAGUUUUUAAUAAGCUCCUCUGGUGACUUAAGGAUUAUUGAAUAUCAAAAUAUCUUAAUUGUUGAAUUUUUCACUUUAAGGUAAAUACAAAGAUUCCCUUAUAAGUCAUUCAAAAUUUUCCAAUCGAUACUAAUAGUAUAAGCAUUUUUAUAAAAUCAUGUUUUAUCUGGUAUAUACAUUCACUCACCAUAAACCUAUUAAAUAAAGAAGGUGCAAUUUCUCUCAUUUACUGAUUCCAUUUUUUCCAUUUCUUCCUUAGCAUUUAUUUUAAGUUCACAUAUACAUUACAUAUUUAUUGUGUAUACUUUAAAUUUUGUCUUCCACGAAUGCUCCAAGACAGCAAUGAAUCUUGUCUGUUUUGUUACCGCGUCACCAAGGCCAGUGUGUGCAGUAGGCACUCAAUAUUUAUUUUUAGAAUGAAAGAUGAAGGAAGAAAGAAGGGAGGAAGUGAGCCAAGGAGGCUCAAUCUUGACCAGUGCGAUUUCAUGUUGUGAACCAGUAGCGCAGUGCUAUGAACUGGUAGAGUUUAAUUGGAUGGUCUGGAAAUCUUUCUGAAUUAAUGAUAUUUUUAGUGAUCCCCCUUUGAAGUUCAUCAACUCGUCAUUAUCAGAUAGUCAAUGAUGACCUUCCUUAAUUUUUAGAGAGGAGAGUAACGUACCACAUAACAACAAUUCUCACAUAAGGCAUUGCAAGUUACAGUCAUGUAGUAAGAAAUUUUCUAUUAAUAAUAAUUAAAAUAGUUAAGUGUGUGAAUGAUUUACUUUUUAAAAAAUAAAGUAAAGCAAAUAAAAGAAUAUCCCUCCAACACACACCAUUCUCAUUCACACACUGUUAUAUUUUCAAGACAGAUGGAAGUUCAGAGGAACUGUAUACAUAAUGCUGGAUUCAUCCAUCUGAGUCCAUUAAACAAGUCAACUUCCUUCAUAUACGUUCUUGUGGAAAUAGAAAAGUGAGAAUUACUGAUGUGUCUUCCUAUGUACUAAUCUGCCCUGUAAUAGAGCUAUUUCAGAGAGAAAUUGUACGAGUUCCAUAAGUCUCCUGGAUUGCCUAAGUUAUAAUAGAAAUGAAAAAUGUGGGGAAAAAUGGCCAAGUGUAAAUGAAUUGGCCAGGGUUCAUAGAAGAUUUCCAUAACUUGAUUCAGGUCUGAAAUAAAAAGAACAAUAUUUUCCUCUGAAAAGUGUAUCGAAAACCUGCCUGAGAUUUUAAUAUAAAAUCAUGUCUAGGGCAGAGAAGAAGCUGCCCAAUAUAUUGACAUAAAGACUAUAUCUGGUACGAUGAAUGGAAAUUGAAUAGCAUCAGACCAAAUUCGCUGUGCUUAUGCCUUUUCUGAUUUGUACUUUGUAUCCAAGAAAAUAUUACUUUAUCUUAUAUGAGAUGUUUUGCACAUUUGAGGGUAAUGUGCACAAAUGUUUUGCACAUUUGAGGGUAAUGGGUGUGUGAUAGUGUAUGUGUGUUAAGAGAGAUACAGAAAGCAUAGAAUGUAAUUAGCUAAAACAAAGUACAUUUCCAGUUUGCAUGAGAAUAAAAUAUUUGUGAAAGAUUUUGAUAAAAUCAAACGUUGGAUAUAAUAAGGAAAAUUGUUUUUUAACUUUCUGGAGUAGAAUAUUUCUAAAGUGUAUUCUAAAAUGACAAGUUUUCCAGGAAAUGCUGAUGUGUAAAUGUUAGGUGUUUGUAAAUGUUAGGUAUUCAUUUUCCAGGAAAUGCUAAGAUUUGUAAAUGUUAGGUAUUCCAAAAAUCUCAUAUGUAAAGAAAAUAAAGUGCAUUUUAUAUUAUAGUAUUUUUGAUUCGUUUCUGCUAUAAGAAACAGAAAAUCUAAAUGAUAAUAGCUUAAACAAGAUAGGAAUUUAUUUCUCUUACAUAAAAGAAAUCUGUAGGUUUGCAAUUCAGGACUGGAAUUAUUCUCGAUGGUCUCUGGAAGCCAAGGUCCUUUUGCUUGUUUAUUUGCUUUGUUAUUCCUCUUGCCUGCCAUUUUUACACAUGGCUUCCACAUCAUGGUCCAAUAUAGCCUCAUGAGCUCCAACCAAUAUGUCUACAUUCCAGCCUACAUGAAGGAGGAAGGGGCAAUGGAGAGUCUACCUUUAAUUUUAAGGACAUGCUGGAAGUCACAUAUACUAAUUCAACCUAUAUCCCAUAACCCAGGCCAUU
rnacentral:lncRNA from 1 species